AGAAGCCUGGUGGGCUGCCGUCUAUGGGGUCCACAGAGUCGGACACGACUGAAGCGACUCAGCAGCAGCAGCAGUGUCCAUGAGAUGGCCAUCAGUCUUUGACCUGUAAAAGAACCUGGCAUUCAGACCUCAUAAGAUGCCGCUUUGAAACAUUAGUCGGCCAUCUUCUCCGACUGCUGGCUUUGCAAAUAAAGUAUUCCUUGCCUCAGUACCUGGUCUCCGAUUCACUGACCUGCCAUGGGACAAGCAGAGCGAACUUGGACUCGACCCGAGUUACCAGCACCGGAUGGAAACCAAAGACAUCACUAACCCCUGAAGUCCUUCUGUGGGCCAUUCCAAUCAUUCCUCCUGACCCAGUUCAGAAGAGAAAUUUCUCCAAGUCAAUCAGGGACUUCACCAAAAAGAGUCUUGUCACAAGUCGAUGUAAUCCAAGCCACAAUUAUGUAAAUUCAGAAUUAAAUCUUGUACAUUG
ensembl:lncRNA